rnacentral:rRNA from 1 species
AUUGAACGCUGGCGGCAUGCUUUACACAUGCAAGUCGAACGGCAGCGGGGGCUUCGGCCCGCCGGCGAGUGGCGAACGGGUGAGUAACGCGUGAGGAACCUGCCUUGGAGAGGGGAAUAACACACUGAAAAGUGUGCUAAUACCGCAUGAUAUAUCGAAGUCGCAUGGCUUUGAUAUCAAAGAUUUAUCGCUCUAAGAUGGCCUCGCGUCUGAUUAGCUAGUUGGUGGGGUAACGGCCCACCAAGGCGACGAUCAGUAGCCGGACUGAGAGGUUGACCGGCCACAUUGGGACUGAGAUACGGCCCAGACUCCUACGGGAGGCAGCAGUGGGGAAUAUUGGGCAAUGGGCGAAAGCCUGACCCAGCAACGCCGCGUGAAGGAAGAAGGCCCUCGGGUUGUAAACUUCUUUUAUACGGGAAUAAAGUGCCCCACGCGUGGGGUUUUGCAUGUACCGUAUGAAUAAGGAUCGGCUAACUCCGUGCCAGCAGCCGCGGUAAUUACG